GGGUGGUAACAGCUGAGCACUCAAAUGCACAACUGAAAAGAGCUGGGGAAUUAAAUGAAAAUGCCUCCUGAUGGUCUGUUGUGUUACAUGGCCUUGCCAUGGCCACGGAAGGGAAUCAGUGGCACCAGGUGCUGUGCAUACCAUGUGGUAGCUAGAGGCACCUAAAAUUUUAGGAGGCUACUAAGGUGCCAUGCCUCUCCUUACCUCUGAGGAGCCCUUCUAGCCUGGUGGGGCACCAUCCAGCAGCAAACAGGAUUCAGGGCACUUACAGGCUCUUGUCCUGCCUGAUGCAUGAAAGAUGGAAUCAGACAACCUCUUGAGCAAAAAGACUCCAAACAAUACAGUUUCAGGCAGCAGCUAAGGCCCUGUAGCUGGGGCCAUACUUCUCAUCUCCUCUUCAUUGGAAGGAAGGUACAUGCAGCAUCUGUCCUGCUGUGUUUUACAUUUGUAAUGCAGGGAACAAGGCAUAUUAAGAGCAAGGGAAUGGAAAUGCAAGCAGGAGAGGAUGAACCAAAACACUGCAGAUAUACCUGUUUUUCUCCAUUAACUCUAAGAAAACUCACUGGUGGCUCCAGACAUCAGAAAUCAUGUGAGGUAUGUCUCAUGGCUGUUUGGGUGAUUGGAACAGCACCCACCAGAUCCAUUAAUUGCAUCAAAUCCAGGUGCUUGCUUGAAGCCAACAUUUAACUAUGCAAAUUACCAUUUUUGUGUUCAAGGUGAAGCUGAAGGAGCAGCCUCGCUUGCUUUGGAGCUGCUGCUGCAGCCUGGUUCUUCAGCAGCUUCUUCACAGUGAGAAGGUAUCUUGAGUGCUGUGGGAUUUUACCUCACAGAUGAGCAGACAGUUGAUCUCCCAUGGAGAAAAGGGAAGAAAGAUGGAGAAUUCAGUGGUUUCAUCAAAUCAGAUUGAUAUCUGCCUCAGCUCUUGGGCUCCUCUGCAGAAAACCAUCACCUGAAAAUCUCACCUGGGGACUAUCUGAGCAAAACCUUGUUUGACAAGGAAUUUGAUAAGGAAAUUGAAAUAUUUCAGGGUCUCUGAAAGGCAGAAUGGGAAGUUUUGUAGCCUUCUGGCACAGAAGGCUACAAAAUGUUAGAAGUAUUUGAAAGCAAUAUAAAAUUCACCAAACUUCAGAGCAGCUGACAACACAAAAGCCUAAUGUUUCUGACCAGUCUCUGAUCAGACAGCCAGUAGAUGUUGGCUCCAAAAGCAAGAUUGACUCUAGGCAGCUUUGGGAAACCUGCCUUUCCUCUCUUGCCUCUCUGUCCCCCCAAACACACUGUGUCUCAUCUCUCUUGACUCUCUGUGUUCCCCAGGGCAGAGGUGCUCUCUUACCCAUCCUAAUACAGCCUCCAAAACUGCACUGAUUGCAGUUUCUUGCUACUACUUACUGAAAACAAGUCAGAGAAAACAGGGUGGGAAGAGACCUUGAGAGGUCACCAGGUCCAUCUGCCUGUUCCAGCAGCGUCAGAUAUGGAUCUAAUCUGGUCUGGACUUCUGCCACCUCCUGCUCUGGCAGCUUGAUGAAGGCUACACUAUUUCCCUCAAUAAACUGUUCCAUGGCUGCA
ensembl:lncRNA